CAGGUGCUGCAUGGCUGUCGUCAGCUCGUGUCGUGAGAUGUUCGGUUAAGUCCGCUAACGAGCGCAACCCUCGCUGUGUGUUACAAGUGUCACACGGAACUGCCGGUCAUAAACCGGAGGAAGGUGGGGAUGACGUCAAGUCAGCAUGACCUUUAUAUCCUGGGCUACACACACGCUACAAUGGGAAGGACAAUAGGUUGCGAAGCCGCGAGGCGGAGCCAAUCCAGCAAAACUUCCCUCAGUUCAGAUUGCAGGCUGCAACCCGCCUGCAUGAAGUUGGAGUUGCUAGUAAACGCAGGUCAGCCAUACUGCGUUGAAUACGUUCCCGGGGCUU
rnacentral:rRNA from 1 species